rnacentral:lncRNA from 1 species
CAGAGUCCUGGUAAUUGGAGAGGGGACGUGGGGCUUUGUUCGGGGGCCUUGGACUUGAGGGGUCCCAGAUUUUGGGGGUUCCAGAUUUUGGAGUCCUGGAUUUUGGGGGGUGUCCCGGAUUUGGAGUGUUCGGGAUGUGGGGUUCCUGAUUUGGGGCGCCCCAGCUUCGGGGAUCCCCAGAUUUUGGGGGUGCCCCCAGAUUUGGGGGUCCCGAAUUUUGGCAGUUCCCAGAUUUUGGGAUGUCCCAGAUUUGGAGGUCCCCGAUUUUGGGGUGUCCCCAAUUUGGGGAUGUUGUGGAUUUUGGAGCUUCAAGAUUUUGGAGGGUCCUGGAUUUGAGGUCCCUGAUUUUGGGGUCUUGGUAUUUGGGGGGUCCCGGAUUUUGGGAUGUCCCAUUUUUGGGGAUCCUGGAUUCUGAGGUGUCCCAAAUUUUGGGGGGUCUCCGAUUUUGGGGUCCCCGAUUUUGGAAUUUCCUCAGAUUUUUGGGAGUCCCAGUUUUGGGGGUUCCCGAAUUUUGGGAUGUUCCAGACCUGGGGGGUCCCCGAUUUUGGGGUGUUCCUGAUUUGGAGGGUCCCGGAUUUGGGUGUCCCCGAUUUUGGGGGGUCCCAGAUUUUAGGGUGGUCCCAAUCUGGGGGGGUCCCGGUCCCCUUUUUUGGGGGGGGCCCGGAUUUUGGGGUCCCAAAUUUUGGGGUGUCAGUAUUUGGGGUGUCCCGGAUUUUGGGUGUCCCCAAUUUUGGGAUCUCGGUAUUUGGGAUUUCCCCGAUUUUGGGGUGUCCCGGCUCUUUUUGGGGUCCCAUAUUGUGGGGUGUCAGGAUUUUGGGGUGUCCCGGAUUUUGGUUUUUUUUGGGGGGGUCUCUCACUCUGUGCCCCCCCCCAAGGUCGCCGUGCGGGGCCGGGGGCGCCCGGUGCCCGUGGGGAGAGUGAGCCGGGCUGCGAGCAUGGCCGGUACUGGGAUAUACUGGGAUAUACUGGGAGGGACUGGGAAUGGGACUGGGAAUGGGACUGGGGGCACUGGGAGCAACUGGGAUGGACAGCACUGGGAGGAAAUGGGAGGGACUGGAAUGGACUGGGAUAUACUGGGAGGGACUGGGAAUGGGACUGGAGCACUGGGAUGGACUGGGAAGGAAUUGGGAGGGACUGGGGAUGAACUGGGAUGGACUGGGAGGGACUGGGGAUGGACUGGGAGGGACUGGGAGCACUGGGAUGGUGCCCAUGGGGAGAGUGAGCCGGGCUGCGAGCAUGGCCGGUACUGGGAUAUACUGGGANNNNNNNNNNNNNNNNNNNNNNNNNNNNNNNNNNNNNNNNNNNNNNNNNNNNNNN